CCGGGUUGCGGACAGUGUCUGGUGGGUAGUUUGACUGGGGCGGUCUCCUCCUAAAGAGUAACGGAGGAGCACGAAGGUUAGCUAAUCCUGGUCGGACAUCAGGAGGUUAGUGCAAAGGCAUAAGCUAGCUUGACUGCGAGAGUGACGGCUCGAGCAGGUGCGAAAGCAGGUCUUAGUGAUCCGGUGGUUCUGAAUGGAAGGGCCAUCGCUCAACGGAUAAAAGGUACUCCGGGGAUAACAGGCUGAUACCGCCCAAGAGUUCAUAUCGACGGCGGUGUUUGGCACCUCGAUGUCGGCUCAUCACAUCCUGGGGCUGAAGUAGGUCCCAAGGGUAUGGCUGUUCGCCAUUUAAAGUGGUACGCGAGCUGGGUUUAGAACGUCGUGAGACAGUUCGGUCCCUAUCUGCCGUGGGCGCUGGAGAAUUGAGGGGGGCUGCUCCUAGUACGAGAGGACCGGAGUGGACGCAUCACUGGUGUUCGGGUUGUCAUGCCAAUGGCAUUGCCCGGUAGCUAAAUGCGGAAGAGAUAAGUGCUGAAAGCAUCUAAGCACGAAACUUGCCCCGAGAUGAGUUCUCCCUGAGACUUUAAGUCUCCUGAAGGAACGUUAAAGACGAUGACGUUGAUAGGUCGGGUGUGUAAGUGUAGCGAUACAUUGAGCUAACCGAUACUAAUGAACCGUGAGGCUUAACCUU
rnacentral:rRNA from 1 species